ensembl:snRNA U6 U6 spliceosomal RNA
GGGCUCAUUUUGGCAGCACAUAUACUAAAAUUAGAAUUAAACAGAAAAGAUUGGCAUAGCUCCUGCACAUGGAUGACAUGCAAAUUCAAGAAGUGUCCCAUAUUUUU